rnacentral:tRNA from 1 species
UCGGGGUGUGGCGCAGAUGGGAGCGCGCGUGGUUUGGGACCAUGAGGUCGCAGGUUCGAGCCCUGUCACCCCGACCAU